AGGCUUAACACAUGCAAGUCGAGGGGCAUCAGGAAGAAAGCUUGCUUUCUUUGCUGGCGACCGGCGCACGGGUGAGUAACACGUAUCCAACCUGCCCUUUACUCGGGGAUAGCCUUUCGAAAGAAAGAUUAAUACCCGAUGGCAUAAUGAUUCCGCAUGGUUUCAUUAUUAAAGGAUUCCGGUAAAGGAUGGGGAUGCGUUCCAUUAGGUUGUUGGUGAGGUAACGGCUCACCAAGCCUUCGAUGGAUAGGGGUUCUGAGAGGAAGGUCCCCCACAUUGGAACUGAGACACGGUCCAAACUCCUACGGGAGGCAGCAGUGAGGAAUAUUGGUCAAUGGGCGCUAGCCUGAACCAGCCAAGUAGCGUGAAGGAUGAAGGCUCUAUGGGUCGUAAACUUCUUUUAUAUAAGAAUAAAGUGCAGUAUGUAUACUGUUUUGUAUGUAUUAUAUGAAUAAGGAUCGGCUAACUCCGUGCCAGCAGCCGCGGUAAUACGGAGGAUCCGAGCGUUAUCCGGAUUUAUUGGGUUUAAAGGGAGCGUAGGUGGACUGGUAAGUCAGUUGUGAAAGUUUGCGGCUCAACCGUAAAAUUGCAGUUGAUACUGUCAGUCUUGAGUACAGUAGAGGUGGGCGGAAUUCGUGGUGUAGCGGUGAAAUGCUUAGAUAUCACGAAGAACUCCGAUUGCGAAGGCAGCUCACUGGACUGCAACUGACACUGAUGCUCGAAAGUGUGGGUAUCAAACAGGAUUAGAUACCCUGGUAGUCCACACAGUAAACGAUGAAUACUCGCUGUUUGCGAUAUACAGUAAGCGGCCAAGCGAAAGCAUUAAGUAUUCCACCUGGGGAGUACGCCGGCAACGGUGAAACUCAAAGGAAUUGACGGGGGCCCGCACAAGCGGAGGAACAUGUGGUUUAAUUCGAUGAUACGCGAGGAACCUUACCCGGGCUUAAAUUGCAGUGGAAUGAUGUGGAAACAUGUCAGUGAGCAAUCACCGCUGUGAAGGUGCUGCAUGGUUGUCGUCAGCUCGUGCCGUGAGGUGUCGGCUUAAGUGCCAUAACGAGCGCAACCCUUAUCUUUAGUUACUAACAGGUUAUGCUGAGGACUCUAGAGAGACUGCCGUCGUAAGAUGUGAGGAAGGUGGGGAUGACGUCAAAUCAGCACGGCCCUUACGUCCGGGGCUACACACGUGUUACAAUGGGGGGUACAGAAGGCAGCUAGCGGGUGACCGUAUGCUAAUCCCAAAAGCCUCUCUCAGUUCGGAUCGAAGUCUGCAACCCGACUUCGUGAAGCUGGAUUCGCUAGUAAUCGCGCAUCAGCCACGGCGCGGUGAAUACGUUCCCGGGCCUUGUACACACCGCCCGUCAAGCCAUGGGAGCCGGGGGUACCUGAAGUACGUAACCGCAAGGAUCGUCCUAGGGUAAAACUGGUGACUGGGGCUAAGUCAUAAC
rnacentral:rRNA from 1 species